rnacentral:rRNA from 1 species
GGGGAAUUUUGGACAAUGGGCGCAAGCCUGAUCCAGCCAUGCCGCGUGAGUGAAGAAGGCCUUCGGGUUGUAAAGCUCUUUCGGCGGGGAAGAAAUUGCACUCUCUAAUACAGGGUGUAGAUGACGGUACCCGCAUAAGAAGCACCGGCUAACUACGUGCCAGCAGCCGCGGUAAUACGUAGGGUGCGAGCGUUAAUCGGAAUUACUGGGCGUAAAGCGUGCGCAGGUGGUUGUGUAAGUCAGAUGUGAAAUCCCCGGGCUCAACCUGGGAACUGCAUUUGAGACUGCACGGCUAGAGGAUGGCAGAGGGGGGUAGAAUUCCACGUGUAGCAGUGAAAUGCGUAGAGAUGUGGAGGAAUACCGAUGGCGAAGGCAGCCCCCUGGGCUAUUUCUGACACUCAUGCACGAAAGCGUGGGGAGCAAAC